GGAGGCCAGCCAAGCAGCUUACGACGCAAGUUCGGCUCUUCAGAGUAACGUCCAGAAAUCUUGUGAACUUGUAGCUCACUAUACUGAGCUGGAGAAUCAGCAGAUCUAGCUCAACCUUAACUUGAAGCUUGCUCAGGAGAAUUUGAAGAAGGCGCAGGAAGAAGCAAAAGAUAAACUGGAGGAAGCUCUGAAGAAGAAGGAUCAAGAUCUUGCAGAGGCACAGAAGGAGGUCUUGAACAAAGCGAGGCUUGCUGAAGAGAAACUGGCUUCGGUCGGAGCUCUUGAGCAGGAGAACUCCGGGCUGAAAGCUGCUCUCGAGGUAGCCAAAUCGAGAGGUCAGCCGACUAAAGAACGACAACGUGGCUCUUCACGACAAGGCGAGUGAGCUGGUGGGGAAGAGGAACGAUCUGGAGGCUUAUCUCGGUGGACUCGCCAAGAAGCUGUUUGUCAUGC